rnacentral:rRNA from 1 species
CGAAAGCCUGACGGAGCCAGACCGCGUGAGGGAAGAAGGCCUUUGGGUUGUAAACCUCUUUUCUCAGGGAAGAAGAAAGUGACGGUACCUGAGGAAUCAGCCUCGGCUAACUCCGUGCCAGCAGCCGCGGUAAGACGGAGGAGGCAAGCGUUAUCCGGAAUUAUUGGGCGUAAAGCGUCCGUAGGUGGUGAUUCAAGUCUGCUGUCAAAACCCAGGGCUUAACUCUGGAUCGGCAGUGGAAACUGAAUGACUAGAGUGCGGCAGGGGCAGAGGGAAUUCCCGGUGUAGCGGUGAAAUGCGUAGAGAUCGGGAAGAACACCGGUGGCGAAAGCGCUCUGCUGGGCCGCGACUGACACUGAGGGACGAAAGCUAGGGGAGCG